GUGAAUCAUCAAAUUUUUGAACGCAAAUUGCACUCUCCUCGGAGAGUAUGCCUGUUUGAGGGUCAGCCUAUAAAAAAUCGACAUCGUUGCGGUUUGGCGGUGCCGUUCUUGGGAAAUUGGGUAACCUUAAUUCUUUUGUUUUUAAGUGACUUAAAAUUUUCUUUUUGGUUCCUUGACUGUUCCUAAAAUUUUUUUUUUAACCCGUUUAAGGUUUG
rnacentral:misc_RNA from 1 species